AUGAGGAGUGACAUUAUGAAGUUUAAACAGUUUGAUAAUGAGCAUGUUGCUCAAGCUUGGGAAAGAAUGAAGUCUUUGGUAAAGAAUUGCCCCACUCAUGGACUGUCUACUUGGAUGAUUAUCCAAACUUUUUAUGCAGGACUGAAUUUUUCUUCAAGAAAUCUUUUGGAUUCAGCUGCUGGAGGAACCUUUAUGUCUCUCACCUUGGGGGCUGCCACAAAGCUUCUUGAUAAUAUGAUGACAAACUACUCUGAAUGGCACACUGAAAGGGCUCCACAAGGUAAGAAGGGCUUAUGUUAUGUGCAUUACCGAGUGGGCCCAGAGAUACCUUUCCGACAAUCGGAGUGA
rnacentral:rRNA from 1 species